GACGAACGCUGGCGGCGUGCUUAACACAUGCAAGUCGAACGGAAAGGCCCUGCUUUUGUGGGGUGCUCGAUUGGCGAACGGUUGAGUAACACGUGAGUAACCUGCCCUUGACUUUGUGAUAACUUCAGGAAACUGGGGCUAAUACCGGAUAGGAGCUCCUGCUGCAUGUUGUUGGUUGGUAAGUUUCGGCGGUUGGGGAUGGACUCGCGGCUUAUCAGCUUGUUGGUGUGGUAGUGGCUUACCAAGGCUUUGACGGGUAGCCGGCCUGAGAGGGUGACCGGCCACAUUGGGACUGAGAUACGGCCCAGACUCCUACGGGAGGCAGCAGUGGGGAAUAUUGCACAAUGGGCGGAAGCCUGAUGCAGCAACGCCGCGUGCGGGAUGACGGCCUUCGGGUUGUAAACCGCUUUCGCCUGUGACGAAGCGUGAGUGACGGUAAUGGGUAAAGAAGCACCGGCUAACUACGUG
rnacentral:rRNA from 1 species